UGGGAGGUCGUACAAUCGGCAGUACAUCAGACUCUGACUCUGAUUAUCCUGGUUCGAGUCCAGGCCUCCCAGCCA
rnacentral:tRNA from 1 species